rnacentral:rRNA from 1 species
AUUGAACGCUGGCGGCAUGCCUUACACAUGCAAGUCGAACGGCAGCACGGGGGCAAUCCUGGUGGCGAGUGGCGAACGGGUGAGUAAUAUAUCGGAACGUGCCCAGUCGUGGGGGAUAACGUAGCGAAAGCUACGCUAAUACCGCAUACGAUCUAUGGAUGAAAGGCGGGGGAUCGCAAGACCUCGCGCGAUUGGAGCGGCCGAUAUCAGAUUAGGUAGUUGGUGAGGUAAAGGCUCACCAAGCCGACGAUCUGUAGCUGGUCUGAGAGGACGACCAGCCACACUGGGACUGAGACACGGCCCAGACUCCUACGGGAGGCAGCAGUGGGGAAUUUUGGACAAUGGGCGCAAGCCUGAUCCAGCAAUGCCGCGUGCAGGAUGAA